AAAAAGACUGUGAAGCAGAAAAAGAUCAUUAUUAGUCGUUUCAGAGAGUCGGCGGCAGGUGAAAGCCGAUACGAAAAUUAUGAUGCAUAGCUCUCUGCGGAGUUGCCGCUUUGAAUUUCAAAUAGGAGCGGACGCUUAACCGCGUUAUCGGUUGAGGCAUUAAAUGAUGCUAAAGGGCAAACGUUGUUUGCCGAAGUAGGGUGGUACCGUGUAGUUAUUUCUACGCCCCUAUA
rnacentral:ncRNA from 1 species